CCUCCUGUACGACGGUAGCUGCGGAGCGUAUGCGCUCGAUCACGCUGCCUCAUCGGUCCAAUCACAAAUGAUUUUCUUUUCUUACGUGGCCCAUAGACACAACUGGCCUAUCAAACUGUACGUAAAAAAUCCCCUAACAAUGCUGAACGUAGAAAUGCAUGCACGCUGAGUACUAUGCACAAGCUUGUAGCAUGCAUGUAUGUACCUUUUUAUAUGACAAAGCAUAUACCAUUCAUGUUUGGUUUACUUUUCUUCACUACAUAGAAUACUCGUGGUAAUGAGGUGGUGGGGGUGCAUGAACGUUAUAAAAUAACUGGCCACUAGAUAUAAUUUAAGUGGCAAGCGUUGCAAAAAAUAUGACAACUAUAGUGUUUAUAACAACUGACAAACUUAUGAGAUUUGAGUAGAAUUUAACUGACCGAUACAACAAAACAUUACCACAACUACGUUUCAGAACAAUCAAAUGUCCUUUUAGUACGACACAACAUAACAAUCGAGGAUAGAAUUCAACAGAUAAAUACAGCAAACACCGUGACAACUAUUUUUUCUACAAUGACUAACAAGCUGUAUGAGACAAUAUGAUAACGAGGUAGAAUUAAAAUGAC
rnacentral:lncRNA from 1 species